rnacentral:rRNA from 1 species
CCUACGGGAGGCAGCAGUGGGGAAUAUUGCACAAUGGGGGAAACCCUGAUGCAGCGACGCCGCGUGAGUGAAGAAGUAAUUCGUUACGUAAAGCUCUAUCAGCAGGGAAGAAACACUGACCUUACGGUCAGCAGACGGUACCUGAGUAAGAAGCCCCGGCUAACUACGUGCCAGCAGCCGCGGUAAUACGGAGGAUGCGAGCGUUAUCCGGAUUUAUUGGGUUUAAAGGGUGCGUAGGCGGAAGGUUAAGUCAGCGGGCAAAUGUCGGUGCUCACCACCGGCCUGCCGUUGAAACUGGUGAUCGUGAGUGGGCGAGAAGUAUGCGGAAUGCGUGGUGUAGCGGUGAAAUGCAUAGAUAUCACGCAGAACUCCGAUUGCGAAGGCAGCAUACCGGCGCCCGACUGACGCUGAAGCACGAAAGCGUGGGUAUCGAACAGGAUUAGAUACCCCAGUAGUC